UACGUAGGGUGCAAGCGUUAAUCGGAAUUACUGGGCGUAAAGCGUGCGCAGGCGGUUAUGCAAGACAGAGGUGAAAUCCCCGGGCCUCAACCUGGGAACUGCCUUUGUGACUGCAUAGCUAGAGUACGGUAGAGGGGGAUGGAAUUCCGCGUGUAGCAGUGAAAUGCGUAGAUAUGCGGAGGAACACCGAUGGCGAAGGCAAUCCCCUGGACCUGUACUGACGCUCAUGCACGAAAGCGUGGGGAGCAAACAGG
rnacentral:rRNA from 1 species